ACUCUCUUUGGUGUGAGGUGGGUGAAGUAAUGCUCUCCGACUGGCAGGAUGCGACUGGAAGAAUUUGCAGAAGGAAGCCUGGCUCCAGCAGCACUCUCUGGAGACAGCAGAGGAGGAAAGUAGGGCUAUGUCUUGCUGGGUUGUUGAAGUUUCUCUGCAGAUGCAUUAUUCAGGCUACAAAGGAAAGGAUGUCAGAGUGCUGAGAUGUUUUCCUUCCUGCUUCAAAGUCAUCUUGUCUGCCUUCCAAGGGUAUCUUCUCUCAGGACCAGGAAUGGUGAUCGAGGUCCUAACUGGAGGCACAGCUCCUAACAGCGAUCCAUACUAGAUGGGUUCAUUUCUUUGGUGGCUCAGUAAUGAAAAAAUUACUUCUAUAGACCAUAUCACAGACAAGCUACCAGAUCUACAGUAAACAACAUUCAGUAACUUUUACUAUACGUUAUGGUUUUUCAUUUUAGCAUAGUUCCAAACUCUUCUGAUUCUCUUAAAUUACAGACCAUGGUAUUCUUUGAACAACUACACAUGCUGUAUCUUCACUUAUCAAAUGCAGCACCUUUGCAAUUAAGGCAUGCAUUUUGAAGGCUUUACAAAUGCAUUUGCUUGUCUUGCUUAAGUGCUGCUGCUUCAAAAAAUAAAUGAUUAAUUAC